GAUCAAGCGAAUAAGUGCAUGUGGUGGAUGCCUUGGCGAUUACAGGCGAUGAAGGACGUACAAGCCUGCGAAAAGCUCUGGGGAGCUGGCAAUGAAGCUUUGAUCCAGAGAUAUCCGAAUGGGGAAACCCACUCCGCAAGGAGUAUCCCACGCUGAAUAUAUAGGCGUGAGGAAGCGAACCCGGCGAACUGAAACAUCUCAGUAGCCGGAGGAAAAGAAAUCAACCGAGAUUCCCAAAGUAGUGGCGAGCGAAAUGGGAACAGCCUGCAAGUGAUAGCGAUUAGGUUAGCGGAAGCCGCUGGAAAGUGGCGCCAUAGGGGGUGAUAGCCCCGUACGCGAAAACGUGGUCGUGGUACUAAGCUUGCGACAAGUAGGGCGGGGCACGAGAAA
rnacentral:rRNA from 1 species